rnacentral:rRNA from 1 species
AUUGAACGCUGGCGGCAGGCCUAACACAUGCAAGUUGAGCGGGGUUUUCGGACCUAGCGGCGGACGGGUGAGUAAUGCGUAGGAAGCUGCCCGAUAGAGGGGGAUACCAGUUGGAAACGACUGUUAAUACCGCAUAAUGUCUACGGACCAAAGUGUGGGACCUUCGGGCUACAUGCUAUCGGAUGCGCCUACGUGGGAUUAGCUAGUUGGUGAGGUAAUGGCUCACCAAGGCGACGAUCUCUAGCUGGUUUGAGAGGAUGAUCAGCCACACUGGAACUGAGACACGGUCCAGGCUCCUACGGGAGGCAGCAGUGGGGAAUAUUGGACAAUGGGCGCAAGCCUGAUCCAGCCAUGCCGCGUGUGUGAAGAAGGCCUUCGGGUUGUAAAGCACUUUCAGCGAGGAGGAAGGGGUAGUAGUUAAUAGCUGCUACUUUUGACGUUACUCGCAGAAGAAGCACCGGCUAACUCUGUGCCAGCAGCCGCAGUAAGAC